GAUAUGGAACAUAAGGUGAAAAUAAAUUUAAAAUAAUGGAAAAGUAAAACAAAGAGAAAAUAAAGACAACCAGGUGUCAUAUGUGACAUAAUAUAUCCUCUGCGCAAAUGCCACAAAGUCUUCUGCCCAUCAAUAUGAAAAGGAAAGCACGGUCAUUAUACAUUAGGUAAAAAUAAACGGACCGCUCAAGAGUACAGCUACUUCUAAUACUACUAAUAAAAUGGAAAGAAAUUCUCUCAUAAGUGGUAAGAAAAAGAGUAAGGCACUGAGUCGUGACCACCACCAACAUCCAACAGUGAACUCAGCAUUGACAUCCACAGAUCAUGUCCCAUCAAGCCACCUCAGCACUACUGUUAUGACAUCAGGCAGGACAGUUCCAUAAGAGGAACUCUCCAGAAAACAGAAGGACCUGUGUUAACCCAAGAACACACAGACUCUGAACUAAAGGACAGAUCAAUGCCACGCCUCUCCAGAAGCAAAGAGGGAGGGAGACCACGGACAUGGUGGUGCUUAAAAACAACGGGUAUUCUUCAUUCCUCCUAGCUGAUCACCAACUGCCGUGAAUGAGAUGUGCUAGGGAAGACAUACCAUCGUCCCUCGGGCUGCAGACCCAAGGGGAAGGGUUCUGAGGGCUGACGCUGCAAAUGUCUCCAUAAGGCCACUAACCAAAAAAAAAGAAAACAAAAAAAAACACAAAAACAAUUCUACAAUUCUCUCAGCUGGUGCCACAAUAUGGAAAGAAGUAAAAUGAAAAGUCACAGGACUGGAGAAGACAUUUGCAAAUCACAUAUGACACUGAGUGCUCCUCAUCCAAAAGACUUAGGACCAGAAGUUGUUUUAGAUUUUGGAUUUUUUUUUGAUUUUGGAAUAUCUGCAUAUGCAUUAAUGAGAUAUCCAGGGGACAGUUCCCAAAUCUAAACAUGAAAUUCAUUAUGUUUCACUUAAUUCUUACAUGCCUGGGUUGAAGGUAAUUUUAUACAGUAUUUUUAUACUACAGUAUUUGAUUGCAACAUCACAUGAAGUCAAGUGUGAGAUUUUCCACUUGUAGUGUCAUGUGAAACCUCCAAAAGUUGCUGAUUAGGCAGUAUUCAGAUUUUGGAUUUUCAGGUAGGAAUGGUCAAACGGUAUCUGAUUUAGA